UGAUUUUACUUACUCUCCAUCCACUUCUGGUCUUCUACAUACACAAUGAAACUUUCCACCAAAAUCUAUGUACAGAUCAUUCUCCACAAUAUGAAAGAUCCGUCCAAUGACCAGUUUAUCCUUUGCAGGUCCCAUCUGUGUAAGAGGAGAAUGUCUCAGCAUAGAUGCAAAGGAUUCCACAUUUUUUGGAGAACCCUAAAUAUGAAAAGAGAUAUUUAU
rnacentral:lncRNA from 1 species